UGACGAUGGUAACAAUUGGAAACAGUUGCUAAGACUGGAUAGGAAAUAAAAAGGCAUCUUUUUAUUUUUAAAAGACCUUUUUCGGAAGGUAUGCUUAAAGAGGGGCUUGCGUCACAUUAGUUAGUUGGCAGGGUAAAAGCCUACCAAGACUAUGAUGUGUAGCUGGACUGAGAGGUUGAACAGCCACAUUGGGACUGAGACACGGCCCAAACUCCUACGGGAGGCAGCAGUAGGGAAUUUUCGGCAAUGGAGGAAACUCUGACCGAGCAACGCCGCGUGAACGAUGAAGUAUUUCGGUAUGUAAAGUUCUUUUAUUGAAGAAGAAAAAAUAGUGGAAAAACUAUCUUGACGAUAUUCAAUGAAUAAGCCCCGGCAAACUAUGUGCCAGCAGCCGCGGUAAUACAUAGGGGGCGAGCGUUAUCCGGAAUUAUUGGGCGUAAAGGGUGCGUAGGCGGUUUAAUAAGUCUAUAGUUUAAUUUCAGUGCUUAACACUGUCCUGCUAUAGAAACUAUUAGACUAGAGUGAGAUAGAGGCAAGUGGGAAUUCCAUGUGUAGCGGUAAAAUGCGUAAAUAUAUGGAGGGAACACCAGAGGCGUAGGCGGCUUGCUGGGUCUUUACUGACGCUGAGGCACGAAAGCGUGGGGAGCAAACAGGAUUAGAUACCCUGGUAGUCCACGCCGUAAACGAUGAGUACUAAGUGUCGGGGAUUACUGGUUAACUGAAGUUAACACAUUAAGGUACUCCGGCGUGAGUAGUACGUACGCAGUAUGAAACUUAAAGGAAUUGACGGGACUCCGCACAAGCGGUGGAUCAUGUUGUUUAAUUCGAAGAUACACGAAAAACCUUACCAGGUCUUGACAUACUCUGCAAAGCUAUAGCAAUAUAGUGGAGGUUAUCAGGGAUACAGGUGGUGCAUGGUUGUCGUCAGCUCGUGUCGUGAGAUGUUAGGUUAAGUCCUAAAACGAGCGCAACCCUUGUCAUUAGUUGCCAGCAUGUCAUGAUGGCACUUUAAUGAGACUGCCAAUGAAAAAUUGGAGGAAGGUGAGGAUCACGUCAAAUCAUCAUGCCCCUUAUGAUCUGGGCUACAAACGUGAUACAAUGGCUGUUACAAAGAGUAGCUGAAACGUAAGUUUAUAGCCAAUCUCAUAAAAGCAGUCUCAGUUCGGAUUGAAGUCUGCAACUCGACUUCAUGAAGUUGGAAUCGCUGUAAUCGCGAAUCAGCAUGUCGCGGUGAAUACGUUCUCGGGGUUUGUACACACCGCC
rnacentral:rRNA from 1 species